rnacentral:lncRNA from 1 species
UGCGGUGUUGUUACCGGACGGUCGGGUUUUAGUCGGUGGUAGUAAUCCUCACAUUUAUUACAACUUCACCAACGUCGAGUAUCCAACGGAAUUAAGCCUCGAGGCUUACUCUCCUCCCUACCUCUCUUUCACGUCUGACUCAAUAAGACCACAUAUAUUGACCAACGACAAAGUAAUCAGUUACAAGAGAUUGUUCAACGUCCAUUUCUAAAAACACCCAUAACAUAUAAAAAGAAAUAUUGUAAGAAAUUAUUUAAUUAUAUUUUAAAUUUAAAAACUACAUAAAUUAUUUUUUUUAUUCUUAAGAAUCAGUAGAAAUUAAAAUUAUAAUUAUAUUAACAUCAUUUAGCAUAUUUCUAUUUAGAAUUCCAUAUAUCGACAUAUAUAUAUAUAUAUUAUUAUUAUUAUUAUUAUAAAAUUGAAUUAUAUAAGACCAAAUAUAAUUUUAAAUACAUAAUUGUAUUACAUAUAAUUAAUAUUGGACACAAUAUUUAGAAUUUUGACGCUUUCCAUGAUAACUUCGUAAGCUUCCGCCAUGGGUUCGAUUCUCCUUGGCCACUCAUAGAAGUUUUAAGUGGCAAGAAAACCCAGAUUUCUAUGGGCCUUUUGGUGAUUAGUUCUUUGGCCUAGAAAGUCUUUGGGAUCACACCAAGGUUAUAAAAAAAAAAAACUUCGUAUUUUCAUAAUUGAUAUUGUAUUAGUUAUGAUGCUAGCGUCGAAAUAGGUAAAUUUUCUGAAUGGUAUUGAUUUAGGAAGUUAUCUCUCUUUCUGAUUUAGUGCACCAAUAUAUUUUAAAGAUACUAACUAUAAUAUCUUUAAUUACGAUUAUUAUCUAUAACAUUUUAAUAUAUGAAUAUUAUGAUUUUUUGGGUUUGUAGGAAUUUGAUUAUGUUUGUCAAAUUAAUUUUGCCGGUUUACGUCUGUCUAUUUAAGUUCGCUGGUUUUAUUAUGUUAUAAACGAUGACUGUCAUACAUAAUAAUAAAAAGUUAGUACUAAAUACCAAAUGUAUUUCUAUUUUAAUAAUUUAGAUAAAAUAAUUUUAUUGAUAUGAUUUACUAUUUACGUAUAUAAUAGUUAGGUAGUUAUGAAUUUUGUGUGCCUAUAAUUAAGGCGAUUAAUCACGCACAUAUGCUGAAUUCCUAUUAUCUACAAUUAAAUUAAAUCUAUAGGAACAAAGAAUUUGGAAUGAUGGUGAAUCAUGCAGAAGAUACUAUAAAAAAUAGUGGUUAUCUAAAUUAUAGGAACUUGUUAGUAAUUAUUUCAUUUACGGAAAUCAAGCUUUAUUGUGAAUAGUAAAUUUUCGUUAGAUCAAUUGAUGAUCUUUAUACCAGCAAUAUAUUGUUUACAUAUACAUGAUUGUGAAUCACAAUUUGUGAUAUCUUGUUUAGCAUGUAUAUACUGUUUAUAUGAUGAUCUCCAUAUGCUUAAGAAAUUGUGAUGAAUAGUUUGGUUUGGUUUGUAAUUGGCAGUUCUAAUAGAAAAAACUACCGGUCGUACGUUUAGUGGAGUAUUGGAUUGGAAUAAUUAUGUGCUGGUUGCUCAACUAUUAAAACUGGAGUAUUGGUUUCGAAUGAUGUAAGUACGUGCUGGUCUAAUUUUUUUAAUACGAUUGUAUAUGGAACGGGAUGGUUUAACGUUUUUUUGGUAUAGAAAAUAAAUGGGUUAAGGAAAGUGUAAAACUACUGUGUUUAAGGCCAGUGGCAUAUAAUUGUAAUUAUUGAGAAAAACUUAGGGUGAAGAUUUAUUUGUACUUCAGUUUUACUAGUUUAGAUAUAAUAACCCCCAAUUAAUAAAAUAAACAUGUAAGUGUAAAAUAAUCUAUGACAAUAUAUAAGUGGACGCACCCCAUCCUCAAGAAAAUAUACUACCAACCUCUAACUUAAAAUUCUCCAACAAGAAAAUAUACUACCAACCUCUAACUUAAAAUUCACCAUCAAUCCAAGAACAGAGGCAACACUAUGAUCAAUUAAUAAAAUAGUUUAGAUAUAAUAACCCCUAAUUAAUAAAAUAAACAUGUAAGUGUAAAAUAAUCUAUGACAAUAUAUAAGUGGACGCAUCCCAUCCUCAAGAAAAUAUACUACCAACCUCUAACUUAAAAUUCUCCAACAAGAAAAUAUACUACCAACCUCUAACUUAAAAUUCACCAUCAAUCCAAGAACACAGGCAUCACUAUGAUCAACUCCGAGAAUGUCGGUAUCAUCCUCACAGCAUUAAUCUUAUGCUUCUCCAUUUCCAUAUUAUCCGAAAGUGAACCCAUCCCGUUUCAGAUGCAACUCGAUCGAUGGGAAGUAUUGCUACCGAGCAUCGGUAUAUCCGCCAUGCACAUGCAACUCCUCCACAACGGCAUGGUCAUAAUGUUUGACCGUACCGAUUUUGGAAUCUCGAAUCUUUCUCUACCAGGAGGCAUGUGUCGAUUUGAUCCUAGUGACACUGCGGUCAAGUUCGAUUGCUCCGCGCAUUCGGUUCUCUACGACAUUGUCUCUAACACAUACCGUGCCUUGAAAGUCCAAACCGAUACAUGGUGUUCUUCUGGUUCGGUUCUUCCCAACGGAACAUUGGUUCAAACUGGUGGAUACAACGACGGUGAGCGCGCUGCUCGAAUGUUUACACCAUGUGGUUAUAGUGAAACAUGUGACUGGAUCGAGUUUCCUCAGUAUCUAGCCCAACGUAGAUGGUAUGCCACCAAUCAAAUUUUACCUGAUGGACGGAUAAUUGUGGUCGGGGGAAGAAGACAAUUCAACUUUGAAAUUUUCCCUCGACCUGAUUCUCACGGUUAUAGAGGGUCAAGAUUUGAUUUUCUUAGAGAAACUACCGAUGGAAGUAGCGAGAACAACUUGUAUCCGUUCCUUUAUCUCUUACCCGAUGGAAACUUAUUCGUCUUCGCUAACACAAGAUCCAUUGUGUUUGAUUACAAAAUGAACCGGAUCGUGAGAGAGUUUCCAGAGAUUCCAGGUGGUGAUCCAAGAAACUAUCCAAGCAGUGGCUCUUCCAUACUUUUUCCAUUAGAUGAAAGCAAGAAUAUUAUGGAGGCUGAGAUUAUGGUUUGUGGAGGAGCUCCAAAAGACGCUUUUCCACGAGCAAAAAGCCAACAAGGAUUCAGACGUGCCACUUCCACGUGUGGAAGGCUAAGGCUAACUAGUCUGAAUCCAAUCUGGGAAAUGGAGACCAUGCCAUUGCCACGUGUAAUGGGGGACAUGCUGCUCUUACCAACGGGUGAUAUCAUUAUUGUAAACGGUGCAGGAGCUGGUACAGCCGGGUGGGAGAAUGCCCGUGACCCGGUAACCCGACCCGUGAUAUAUCACCCAUUUGAUCGCCGCUUCUCAAUUAUGUCCACAUCAUCGCGUCCUAGGAUGUACCAUUCGUCUGCAGUUUUGUUACCGGACGGUCGGGUUUUAGUCGGUGGUAGUAAUCCUCACAUUUAUUACAACUUCACCAACGUCGAGUAUCCAACGGAAUUAAGCCUCGAGGCUUACUCUCCUCCCUACCUCUCUUUCACGUCUGACUCAAUAAGACCACAUAUAUUGACCAACGACAAAGUAAUCAGUUACAAGAGAUUGUUCAACGUCNN